CUGUGGGUGGCACCGAUCUAUCCCUGUUCAUCGUCUUCCCUGAUCUCUGACAUUAGAGCAAUUCUCAAAAUGCUUUAUACUUAGACUGUAUAUGCUACAAAUAAGAACACUUUCUCUCCAGAUUCUUCAGACUCUCCCUGUAACUGAUGAUCCUGUCAAAGCGGCAGUUGCUAUGGGUUAAAUCAUCUGAAUCCUGACUCCUGAAAUACUUGAAGGCAAAUCCGUAAUGACAGAAGUGUGGCUUAGCUGGAGUAAGUUAUGUAAAAAAUACAUAAAUAAAUAAACAAUUAUUUUAAACUA